rnacentral:snoRNA from 1 species
GUUGAGGUCUUCCCUCCCGAUGGAGCUUCUCUUGGAGCCACUCGUCACUGGAAAUGCCUCAUAGAGUAAUUCUGUAGUUUUGCUUUACUCAUAGGACUUUUUUUUUUUUUAGGUCUGUGGGAAAGAAGUACAAGACAAAA